rnacentral:rRNA from 1 species
GCAGUCGAGCGAGCUGAAUUCAAAGAUCCCUUCGGGGUGAUUUGUUGGACGCUAGCGGCGGAUGGGUGAGUAACACGUGGGCAAUCUGCCCUAAAGACUGGGAUACCACUUGGAAACAGGUGCUAAUACCGGAUAACAACAUGAAUCGCAUGAUUCAAGUUUGAAAGGCGGCGCAAGCUGUCACUUUAGGAUGAGCCCGCGGCGCAUUAGCUAGUUGGUGGGGUAAAGGCCUACCAAGGCAAUGAUGCGUAGCCGAGUUGAGAGACUGAUCGGCCACAUUGGGACUGAGACACGGCCCAAACUCCUACGGGAGGCAGCAGUAGGGAAUCUUCCACAAUGGACGCAAGUCUGAUGGAGCAACGCCGCGUGAGUGAAGAAGGUCUUCGGAUCGUAAAGCUCUGUUGUUGGUGAAGAAGGAUAGAGGCAGUAACUGGUCUUUAUUUGACGGUAAUCAACCAGAAAGUCACGGCUAACUACGUGCCAGCAGCCGCGGUAAUACGUAGGUGGCAAGCGUUGUCCGGAUUUAUUGGGCGUAAAGCGAGCGCAGGCGGAAUGAUAAGUCUGAUGUGAAAGCCCACGGCUCAACCGUGGAACUGCAUCGGAAACUGUCAUUCUUGAGUGCAGAAGAGGAGAGUGGAACUCCAUGUGUAGCGGUGGAAUGCGUAA